rnacentral:rRNA from 1 species
GUAGGUGGCAAGCGUUGUCCGGAAUUAUUGGGGCGUAAAGCGCGCGCAGGCGGUUCGUUUAAGUCUGAUGUGAAAGCCCACGGGCUCAACCGUGGAGGGUCAUUGGAAACUGGAGAACUUGAGUACAGAAGAGGAAAGCGGAAUUCCACGUGUAGCGGUGAAAUGCGUAGAGAUGUGGAGGAACACCAGUGGCGAAGGCGGCGUUUCUGGUCUGUAACUGACGCUGAGGCGCGAAAGCGUGGGGAGCAAACAGGAUUAGAUACCCUGGUAGUCCACGCCGUAAACGAUGAGUGCUAAGUGUUAGGGGGUUUCCGCCCCUUAGUGCUGCAGCUAACGCAUUAAGCACUCCGCCUGGGGAGUACGGCCGCAAAGGCUGA